rnacentral:lncRNA from 1 species
CCUUGGGUCCAGGAAGUCUUAUACUGUCUCCUCUCACGGCCCCGACAGAAACGGUUUCUGAGGAGUAGAAGUGUCCUAAGUGGAUUGGAAAUUACAAAUGCCGGAAAGAACCUAGGGAUGGAAAGCAGCCCUCAACUCAGCCCACCAGCACCCAGUUGAAAUAAACAGCCAUGUUGCUCACAGAAAGCCUGUUUGGUGAUCUCUUCACACGGACACAUGAAACAUUUGGUGCCAAAGACCCGGGUCAGUGGGACUCCUUUUGGAGACCAGUCCCCUGUCCUCACCCUCACUCCGUGAAGAGAUCCACCUACGACCUCAGGUCCUCAGACCAACCAGCCCAAGGAACAUCUCACCGAUUUUAAAUCAGGACCCCACUAGAAAUUGGACUGUCCAACUGGCCCAAGGCUCUGAUCGACUCCUUCCCAGAUCUCCUCGGCUUAGCAGCUGAAGACUGACACUGCCUGAUCGCCUCGGAAGCCCCUUGGACCAUCACGGACGCUGAGCUUCGGGUAACUCUCACAGUGAAGGAAGACAAGAAUGUCAGGCCUCUGAGCCCAAGCUAAGCCAUCAUAUCCCCAGUGACCUGCGCGUAUACAUCCAGAUGGCCUGAAGCAACUGAAGAUCCACAGAAGUGAAAAUAUCCUUAACUGAUGACAUUCCACCAUUGUGAUUUGUUUCUGCCCUACCCUAACUGAUCAAUGUUCUUUAUAAUCUCUCCGACCCUUAAGAAGUUUCUUUGUAAUUCUCCCCACCCUUGAGAAUGUACUUUGUGAGAUCCACCGCCUGCCCCCAAAACAUUGCUCUUAACUCCACUGCCUAUCCCAAAACCUAUAAGAACCAAUGAUAAUCCCACCACCCUUUGCUGACUCCUUUUUCGGACUCAGCCCGCCUGCACUCAGGUGAAAUAAACAGCCAUGUUGCUCACA